AUAACAGUUAUUUUGUUUUUUAAGAAUAUUUUGUAAAAUGAGUAGCACUGAUCGGCCAUUUUUUUUUAACAAAGGUAAAAUUAUACUUCAAUUUCAAAUAACAAACAAACUGAAUCUGAAUAUUAAAUUAGUCACAUGAUCUAUCAUUAUAUCUAAAAAUAGCAAUUACUCAACAUCCACACAAGAAACAUUCAUUCAGAUAUAAUCACUUGAACUCCAUACUCUGGGAAUGUACACAUAAUGUAUCUCCCAUAUAAAGUUCACAAUAAUCAAGUCUCAUUUGGCAAACUUAAAAUUUUCCAGUCCUUGAGAAGAAUUGAUCUGUUGUUUUUUACUGAUAGUUACUGAUAAAAAACAGCAAAAUAAUCCUGUAUCUUAGGUAUGAAUUAUAUCAUUUAUGGACCAAACAGU
rnacentral:lncRNA from 1 species